rnacentral:rRNA from 1 species
UGGGGAAUAUUGGUCAAUGGGCGGGAGCCUGAACCAGCCAAGCCGCGUGAGGGAGGAAGGCCCUAUGGGUCGUAAACCUCUUUUGUCAGGGAACAAAAGCGAGUAUGUAUACUAGUCUGAGUGUACCUGAAGAAAAAGCAUCGGCUAACUCCGUGCCAGCAGCCGCGGUAAUACGGAGGAUGCGAGCGUUAUCCGGAUUUAUUGGGUUUAAAGGGUGCGUAGGCGGCGGUGCAAGUCAGCGGUAAAAGCCCGGGGCCUCAACCCCGGCGAGCCGUUGAAACUGCAGUGCUAGAGAAGGCGAGAGGUACGCGGAAUGCGCAGUGUAGCGGUGAAAUGCUUAGAUAUUGCGCAGAACUCCGAUUGCGAAGGCAGCGUACUGGCGCCUGACUGACGCUGAGGCACGAAAGCGUGGGGAUCGAACAGGAUUAGAUACC